CACGUUUCAGCGCUGAUAACUGCGUGUGGCGUUUUGAAUAAUUUGAACGCUUAAUAGUUAAUCAACUAUAGUUUUUUUUAUCCACGUCUCCCGCCAUGACAUUAACUCCGCCCACUUCUGGCCUCAGACUGCUGGCUCAUAAUGUUCUGCGGUUCUGCAGUUGGUUUAUUACUGGCACUGAUUCUGAGGAGAGAGCUGUAUAGCGAUCUUUAACGGUGUGUGCGUGCUUAUAAGAGAAACCACACACACAUGCGAAGCAGAAUUUCUUCAGGACUGAGUUGUGGUGACAAUAAAUGGGUUAUUCCCGUGUACCUGAUCAUCUCUGUUCAUCCACCUGCCUCAUCUGAAGCUUUCAUUGAUAGCCCAUUAUUGUCUGUGGAGACAUGCAGCACCAAGAAUUGUCUCCACAGGCACAACGGUAACACUGGUGAAUUCCAGAAAUCUUCUGCCUCUUCUGUUACUGAGCAAGAGUGAAACUCAAACGCUUGAUUAGCUUAGCUUGUUGCUCAAGUUACAAGGGUUAAAUGUAAUCUUUAAAACCAACUGUCUAGUUCUUGCUUCCUCAAUCUACAUACACUGUUUAAACACACUAACUUCCACCAGGCUUGGAGCUGGUGCAACUCAUCCUUAAAAGAAUAUUUCCUAAGCUUCUAAAACACAUCAGAAUAAAACAUUAAUCCUGCAAGGAAAAGGAAUGCUGUGACUUGUUUUUAUGACCACAUUUGUGUACGAGUGUGUAUGAGACACGCCUUCUGCACAUGCUCAGUGCAGUCCUGAGAGACCUUGCAUGCAAACCACAUCCUGAUUCACUCAAGAUACAAGAUCAGCUGUGAGAUUCGAGGCUUUUUUCCAAAUCAGCUCACCUGUUCAAACGGAUCACUUCAACCUCCUAGACAAGCCAUGGAGUUUGAGAACAGCAAAGAAGGAUGUAACAACUGCAGAAAGAAUUGCGAUGACAAAUGCCAAUGUCAUUAUCAUACAAUAACCCAAAGUCCUAAACCUGAGCAAAGGACUGAAGAGAAGACGUCUGAGAUGCCUGAAGGGCCUUCAAAAGAGUGUGGCUUCUGUUAUUUCGUCCCCUGUGAUUGCGGCCCCUGUGACUGCGGCUCUGGUGAUUGUGGCCAAUGUGAUUGCGGGCCCUGUGAUUGCGGCCUUUGUGAUUGUGGCUCCUGUGAUUGCGGCUCCUGUGAUUGCGGCUCCUGUGAUAUUCAGUGAAUGUUUGCAGGAUGUUGGUCAGACAGGUGAGAAACAUUUGUCUCUUUAAUGGCUACUUCUAAAAAUAUGGACAUUUUACAAUUUCUCUCCAGUUUUAUCAAAGUUUUAUCUAAUUGUGGCUGUUUAAAUGCACUCUGAACAUUGAUCAGUACUUCCACAACAUUUGAAAAUCUUAAUGAUAAUUUCAACAUUCACUAAUAUAUAUUCAAAUUAAAAAUUGUGCCAGCAUUAUCUAGUGCACUGUGAAUUAACAUGAAUAAACAUUCACAAAGGUUAAUAAAUGUAGCUCAAAUACAUGUUUCAUUGUUAGACCACACCAGCUUGUGCAUUAAAGGGGUGGUUUACUGCUAUUUUUCUUUGCUUGAUUGUGUUUAUGGGGUGCAAUAUAACAUGUCUUCGUGUUUCGUUUGUUAAAAAACGCCUUAUUUUUCAUAUAUUUCACCUUUAUUGUAAGCUGCUUGCUCCUCUGUCAUUUGAACGACCGGUUGACUUCCUGAUUCUAUGAAACCACUCCCUCAGAAACAGGCGAUGGGCUCAGAUUGGUUAGUUGGGCCGGUGUGUUGUGAUUGGCUAAACUGUGUACUGCACAUUGUCCGGAAACUUCACGCCCAUUACCUUUACGGGCGACAGCUGCAUGUGCUGCGGUCAAAUGUAAAUAAUGGUGUCAAUAUUGCCGUAUCAGUUUGAGCCAGAAUCAGACCCAGAAAGCGGUGAAGAGAGUUAAGCAGAACUUCCGCAAGCAUGGUUCUUACAAAACGUUUCUGAAUGGAAGUUUGCUGUUGUGAUUACAUAUCAUUUUUUGAAGUUUGUACACGUUUGUCUUAUACACACAAAAUAGCAUCGAACUAACUGGCUACUAUAACCAAACCGCCUUGGCUUGUGUUUACGUUCUUGAUCAAAUCGAAAAAUUACGUCAUAAAGUAUACAUGGAAAAUACAUUUACAAAAUUAGUACAUAAUUACAAAUUCAGGUCCAAAAUGUUUGUACCUGUUUGUCAUAGACACAUGAAAUAGCAUUUAACUAACUGGCUACUAAAGCCAGCGUUGGCAUUUGUUUACGACCUUGAUAAAACUAAAACAUUACGUCUGAAAUUAUACAUGCAAAUACAUUUAAAAUGAUGAAAUCUUACUUACAGGUUGUGGCCCAACAACUGCUGCCUCUGGUUUUAAAGUUGGAACCGCUCCAUUUAGUAAUAGUUUCUGUGUGAAUCCGGCAUUGAACUCGUGUAGAUUCUGGAAGCUGUCUUCCGUAAAAUGCGCAGCACAGAGAGCUAAAUUAGGAUUGUAAUUGUCAGGAACAUAAUCAAACAUAAAUUUUAACCAUUGUUGACGAACUACAGCGUCCGUUGGAAGCCCGAACACAGAAGACCCGACAGCUGGGUGAAAAUAACACUUUAAAAUUUCGACGGCAUGGCUACAACUCUCCACUAUAACUCUUCCUCUUCGACAAAGCCGCAGAACAUGGCCUUGCCCCCUCUUUGGCAUGUUCCGGAGGGAGGGGUUUGAUGGGUUUUUUACGUAUGCAACCCGGGAAGUAUCUCGUUGUAGUCCCAUAUGAGUCGUUUUUGUAGGCAUUAAACUUCCUGAUUUUUAAAAGACGAUAUCUCCGCUUAUGUUGAACUUUCAGCGCCUCAACUUUGCAGAUACUGUUCAUGCACCAACAGCAACAUUACACACUAUUUAAAAUGAAAAAAGUGAAAUCGCAGUAAACCACCCCUUUAAUGUGAACAAAUGAGAAUUUAUUGCAAAGUAUUAGUAAAAAGUAAAAGUGACAAGCUUUUUAUUGUGAUGGUCUCUCAACAGACACUCUACUGACUGUAAGUAACUUUGCAACUACAUGUCAACUUAUUCCAACCCUAACCCUACCAGUCAACUAAUACACUACUAACACUCUAAUGAGAGUUGGUAGAAUUAUAGUCAACAGAAUGUGUUAAAGGGACCAUCAAAAUAAAGUGAAACCCAACCUUUUUAUUGGUAGGCAUAGAAAAUAUUUCAUGUUGAUACUAAACCUUGUUUUUAUUAUUAUUAUGAAGUAAUUGAUCUGUCCGGAGUAGAUGGAUUUGUGGAGACAACGCAGUACUCAAGACGGGUUUCAGCUCCAGAGUAGAACAUCAUCAACACAAAGACAACACCACUGUGAUCUACAAUAAACAUCAGGACAUCUUUAGUGCUCAUGGAUGUUAAACACCAUAAAGACAAUAUUAUUUGUACAUAUAAAUACAGAGGUCUGACAUGAAACUCUUAAGUUGGUGCAGUCUGAUAGGUCCAACUCAAUCUGACCUAAUGACAUCAUUAUCAUAUAACUCGGCUGAUUGUUUUUUUCCUGAAUCAGUUGCCAAUGAGCUUAUUGCUCAAUAUUCGAAUACCUGGCUUUCGUUUGCUGUAGCAGUUUGGCAGCGUACUUCAGAACAGCUGAAAUCAAUAUCUAAGAUAAGUGAAUGCUCUUUUAAUCUAUAUCGCUGUGUAUAUUUGCGUGGUCUGCCUAAUUGAAUACAAAAAUGAGCAACCAUAAACAAAUUUAAAUUAAGUGUCAUGUUAGCAGUUUGCAUUGUAUGCAUCAGCGAAAUAUUAAGCAUAUUAGCAGCAGCAUUUAGCAUCUGUGUGUAUGCAGCUGGAGCAAAGGCAGUUUAGAGUAUGUAAUCACUCUGAGGAUACGCCGAUAGUAACAAACAUGAAACCGGUUAAACGAAAUAAGCAUUCUUGUGUAUGCAUUUCAACUGGGGUUCACCAUUUACAUCGGCGUAAUCGCAAUGUUCACGUUCGUUAUUUCUAAGGUUAAUGUUUUCAUUGUGAUGAGUGUGGUUGAUUUCAGCUGUACGAAGCUGUAAGAAGCACGUGCUUAUCGCAGUCAUGUCAAUCACAGUGUUGCGGAAAGAAGAGAAUUAAGAGUUAUCGCUUAAGAUCACUAUCUAUGCUUGAUGUAGUCCUGAAUGAAAUGCAUUAUGGGAAAUGUAGUUCGGAGAAAUGUGCUCAGGCGACGUGUGCUCUACAUUUAUACAUUAUUAUAUAUUAUAUUCUGCUUUGUCCGUCUUCAUUGCACGAACGUGAAUUAACGAGCUGUUACGCUACCGCUGGGACUGAUGAAAUGUAGCAAGUAACAGCAGAUAUCAAAUGACUAAAUUAUGAUAUUUGCUCAGGUGGAUGCUGGGGUCUUACCUAUCGGAUUGCAACGUAUAUCCAUUUUGUUAAUUAGCAUUACACAUAGUGCGCGUCUAAUUAGAGUUAAGCCAGUCGGUGUAGUAGUCCAGGCACACACAGUCAUAGGCCACUAUUGUUAAGCAGGUUGGCGUGGUAGCCCAGGCACACAUACAGUCAUGCCCAAAAAUAUUGGCACCCUUGGUAAAUAUGAUCAA